GACGAACGCUGGCGGCGUGCCUAAUACAUGCAAGUCGAACGAGGCCCUUUGUAUUCGUACGAAGGUGUCCUAGUGGCGAACGGGUGAGUAACACGUAGGUGACCUGCCCCGAAGAGGGGAACAACCCCGGGAAACUGGGGCUAAUACCCCAUAACCUCCUUGGAGUUAGAGGACCUUGGAGAAAAAGGAGCAAUCCGCUUUGGGAGGGGCCUGCGGCCCAUCAGCUAGUUGGUAGGGUAACGGCCUACCAAGGCGAUGACGGGUAGGGGACCUGAGAGGGUGGUCCCCCACAAUGGUACUGAAACACGGACCAUACGACUACGGUCGGCAGCAGUAGGGAAUAUUGCACAAUGGGCGAAAGCCUGAUGCAGCAACGCCGCGUGCGCGAUGAAGGCCUUCGGGUUGUAAAGCGCUUUUCUGGGGGAAGAGAGAGGACGGUACCCCAGGAAUAAGUCUCGGCUAACUACGUG
rnacentral:rRNA from 1 species